UACGGGGGGGGGCAAGCGUUGUUCGGAAUUACUGGGCGUAAAGCGCGCGUAGGCGGCUUUGUAAGUUAGAGGUGAAAGCCCGGGGCUCAACCCCGGAACUGCCUUUAAGACUGCAUCGCUUGAAUCCGGGAGAGGUGAGUGGAAUUCCGAGUGUAGAGGUGAAAUUCGUAGAUAUUCGGAAGAACACCAGUGGCGAAGGCGGCUCACUGGACCGGUAUUGACGCUGAUGUGCGAAAGCGUGGGGAGCAAACAGG
rnacentral:rRNA from 1 species